AUACGAAGUAGAGGUGCGUUUUUCAAGAGUAACCGAGCCAAUAUCAUAAGGGAUACAGGAGGCUCGUCGAAAGGGGAAAAUGCCGAAGAAAAAGACGGCCUUAUCUGUUUUUUUCUGGUUGUGCGGUUAAGAGCCGUAUGACUGUCAUUGGGUUUCCCAAUGGAGCGCUACUGGAUAA
rfam:Firmicutes bacterium CAG:466 genomic scaffold, scf160